GGGCCCGCACAAGCGGUGGAGCAUGUGGUUUAAUUCGAUGCAACGCGAAGAACCUUACCAGGGUUUGACAUCCUGCGAAUCUCUUGGAAACAGGAGAGUGCCUUCGGGAACGCAGUGACAGGUGGUGCAUGGCUGUCGUCAGCUCGUGUCGUGAGAUGUUGGGUUAAGUCCCGCAACGAGCGCAACCCACGUCUUUAGUUGCCAUCAUUCAGUUGGGCACUUUAAAGAGACUGCCGGUGAUAAACCGGAGGAAGGUGAGGACGACGUCAAGUCAGCAUGCCCCUUACGCCCUGGGCUACACACGUACUACAAUGGCAGUGACAAUGGGUUAAUCCCCAAAAGCUGUCUCA
rnacentral:rRNA from 1 species